rnacentral:lncRNA from 1 species
UAGGGGAAACAUUGGAAGCUUGGGAGUUUCUCUUGUCUGAGGCAGGCGCAGGAGAAGGUGCAUCACCACCGUCCAAAAGGUAACGUCUGGAGAGAACGGUGUCUGACGAGGAGGAAUGUUGGAAGCGGAGAGAGGGUUCGAGGAAGCUGUUGCCGGAGAAGUUAAAUUGGCGGAGGUUGCGGAAGGAGCGGACGGAAGAAGGCACCCUUCCGGUGAAGAAGUUGUCGGCGACGGAGAGGGUUUCGAGGUUGGGGAAGUACUUGAGGAAGUUGAGGUUGCCGGAGAGUUUGUUGGAGGAGAUGUCCAACGCGCGGAGGCGCGUGAGAGAGGAGAGUUCGGAGGGGACCUCGCCGGAGAAGAGGUUGUUGGAGAGGUCAAGGAAU